CGAAGAGGAGUUCAAAGAGGAGACUGAAUCCCCCGAACCAGAGGAGGAAGUAUACCGCACUUUGUGCUUGGUGCGCUUUUUGUGCAAUUUGGCAGGAAGGCGUUUACUCCUGAUUUGCUGCAAGAGAGGCAAACCAGGCACUCAACUACCUGAGACUGCUAUUAGAAGGAAUGACAUAAUAUAUAUCGCAUACCCUCUCUUCCAAAAGAGCAUCCUUUUCCUGCAAAGCUUCCAAAGGAACAGAAAAAAACUUUAUUAAUGGAAAAUUGUCUCUGAUGAAGCCUUUUGGUGAAACAGUGCCUUACCCGGGGUGGCCACCUGGUUCUUUUCCUGGUGUUAUUUGUCUUUCAUCGUCAGUUGUCAUCAGUCACUUCAGAGUAUGUUGCUUGCUCAUUUUGAAUGAAGGAGUCAUGAACUGAACUACAAGCACUCUCAACAUCUCCCUGAGUACAUCGUUUCCUUCUUCUGGUAUCUGAGAACUUAUUAUCCGUUUUGUAUGUACUCCUUAUAUUCUCAAAUUUGAUGACAUCUUGGACCUCGUUUGGAUACCUGCACAUACUGUUUUUGUAUUUUUCAAUUGCAUGUUGUAAUUCCAUCUGAUAUUAUGUUUAUGUGUGUCUACAAGUGUGAUACAGAUGCUCUUGCUCAUU